rnacentral:tRNA from 4 species
UCCGGGAUCGUCUAACGGCAGGACAGGUGACUCUGGAUCAUCUAAUCGUGGUUCGAAUCCAUGUCCCGGAGCCA